UACGUAGGUGACAAGCGUUGUCCGGAUUUACUGGGCGUAAAGAGCGCGCAGGCGGUCGAUCAAGUCGAGUGUGAAAGCCCCCGGCUCAACUGGGGAGGGUCAUUCGAUACUGAUCGACUCGAAGGCAGGAGAGGGUAGUGGAAUUCCCGGUGUAGUGGUGAAAUGCGUAGAUAUCGGGAGGAACACCAGUGGCGAAGGCGACUACCUGGCCUGUUAUUGACGCUGAGGCGCGAAAGCUAGGGGAGCAAACGGG
rnacentral:rRNA from 1 species